CCACCCGACCAGACCCUCAUGAUCCCGAUCUCCCCUUCCCCGAUCUCCCCUUCUUCCUUCUCUCUUCUCUCUCUCGCGGACGAGCGACGGCGACGGCGACGGGAGCAAGGCUCCAGCUCCGGUGAUCUUCUCUGCCGACAUCGACCCUCAUUGAGCUCAAGUCCAACCGGUGUUUUUCUCUCCGGGCUCCAGGUCCGGUGAUCCCUAUUGAUGCCUACCUGCCGACGCCACUGAUCGAGCGAGAUCCACCCGAUCGCCGGCGAGGGUUUUCCUUUGGAGGUUUGAGAGAGGGGCUAGCUUCACCCGAGCCCUUUCUCCUUGUGCAACCGUGCCCUAGAUCUCUUCGGUUGGCUUCGAUCCGUUGUCGUGACAACAAAGUUGUGCCCUAGCCGAAUCUGGGAGGUUAGAUCUUGGAUCCCGUCUUCAUUGUGGCUGAUUCGGGGUCAGAAGUAUCUUCGAAACCCUGCUUCACGGAUUGGAUCGGGUGACAUUUUCUAGAGACGAUCUGUGAGGUGUAUCCAGUAGCUUUCCCUAACCGGCAGCAACACCUUUGAUUGUGAUCUAUUGGUGGUCACCUUGGAUUUGAGAGGAUUGGUUCCAGUGAGGUUGAGUGUUUUGUGGAUCUGGAAAUGGGUUAUGUGGCUUCUUAGUUUCAGCAGUAGCCUCAUCUAGCAGAUUUCUUUGUUUCAGCAUCAACAGCGGCUGAAG